GCUCAUUUUACUUAGCUGCUGAAGAAGGAGAGUCGCAUUCAGCCAGGGAUCACUGAGCAUUCAAAAGUCCAUCUGAGACCUGCUUUCAUUGCACUGCCUCGUGAGGAGCUGUAGGAGAAGAUAUCAUAACUAUUCCCCACUUCUAAUUGUUAGAAGCAACAGCUGUCUAUCAAGAACAAUCUGAGGAUUGUGCACAAAUUGAUUUGGUUCUAUCAAGUGCUGGCUUUCGAUUCCAGUCUGACUUCACUACCACAGGAGCUUCUUGCUCAGGCUUCUGUUCCGGCUCCAUUCUCUCCCUGCCAUUAUAAUGCCAUCCACUGCAGCACCAUCUCUUCAAUCACUCUUCAGAAAUGCAAAUUGCUGCCUUCAGAAGGAAGCACACGGGCCUAUGAAUUUUAUAUCAGCAGGGAUUACCAAUGAGUCAUGCUUGAUGUUGUAAAAACUAUUCAGGAAAACAUUCAUGAUCUCAUUCCACCUGAAGCCAGUGCCUCUGUAAUGUGUAGCAGAAUCCUAUGGAGAAGUUGUAAAAACACAAAAUGUUGGCCCCACCCCAAGAGUUUCUGAUUUUGCAGGUCUGGAGAGGGCCUGUGAUACGUACUUCUAACAAGCUCCCAGGCGAUGCUAAUGUUGCUGGUCUAGAAACACACUUUGAGAGCCACUGUUUUACAAUGUAUUCACCCAGCUUAUGCAAUCAACUACUAUCACAGCAAAGUCCAAAGAAUGCUCCUUAUUUGUUUGUUAUACUGGAGUUUGGCUUGGCUAAAUAUUAUUUGAAACUGAAUGGCUGUUGA
rnacentral:lncRNA from 1 species